rfam:Picea glauca, whole genome shotgun sequence.
ACAUGCCUACAACAUAGCAUUAAUGCACCAAUUCCCAUGAGAACUUCACAGUUAAGCAUGCUCAGGAUAGAUUAGUACUAGGAUGGGUGACUUCCCUAGAAGUCCUAUUGUUUUACAUGCC